rnacentral:rRNA from 1 species
UCAGGAUGAACGCUGGCGGCGUGCUUAACACAUGCAAGUCGAACGAUGAAGCCCAGCUUGCUGGGUGGAUUAGUGGCGAACGGGUGAGUAACACGUGAGUAACCUGCCCUUAACUCUGGGAUAAGCCUGGGAAACUGGGUCUAAUACCGGAUAGGAGCGUCCACCGCAUGGUGGGUGUUGGAAAGAUUUAUCGGUUUUGGAUGGACUCGCGGCCUAUCAGCUUGUUGGUGAGGUAAUGGCUCACCAAGGCGACGACGGGUAGCCGGCCUGAGAGGGUGACCGGCCACACUGGGACUGAGACACGGCCCAGACUCCUACGGGAGGCAGCAGUGGGGAAUAUUGCACAAUGGGCGAAAGCCUGAUGCAGCGACGCCGCGUGAGGGAUGACGGCCUUCGGGUUGUAAACCUCUUUCAGUAGGGAAGAAGCGAAAGUGACGGUACCUGCAGAAGAAGCACCGGCUAACUACGUGCCAGCAGCCGCGGUAAUACGUAGGGUGCGAGCGUUAUCCGGAAUUAUUGGGCGUAAAGAGCUCGUAGGCGGUUUGUCGCGUCUGUCGUGAAAGUCCGGGGCUUAACCCCGGAUCUGCGGUGGGUACGGGCAGACUAGAGUGCAGUAGGGGAGACUGGAAUUCCUGGUGUAGCGGUGGAAUGCGCAGAUAUCAGGAGGAACACCGAUGGCGAAGGCAGGUCUCUGGGCUGUAACUGACGCUGAGGAGCGAAAGCAUGGGGAGCGAACAGGAUUAGAUACCCUGGUAGUCCAUGCCGUAAACGUUGGGCACUAGGUGUGGGGACCAUUCCACGGUUUCCGCGCCGCAGCUAACGCAUUAAGUGCCCCGCCUGGGGAGUACGGCCGCAAGGCUAAAACUCAAAGGAAUUGACGGGGGCCCGCACAAGCGGCGGAGCAUGCGGAUUAAUUCGAUGCAACGCGAAGAACCUUACCAAGGCUUGACAUGUUCUCGAUCGCCGUAGAGAUACGGUUUCCCCUUUGGGGCGGGUUCACAGGGUGGUGCAUGGUUGUCGUCAGCUCGUGUCGUGAGAUGGUUGGGUUAAAGUCCCCGCAACGAGCCGCAACCCCUCGUUCCAUGUUGCCAGCACGUCGUGGGUGGGGGACUCAUGGGGAGGACUGCCCGGGGGUCAAACUUCGGGAAGGAAGGUGGAGGGACGACGUCAAAAUCAUCAUGGCCCCCUUAUAUGUUUCUUGGGGCUUUCCACCGCCAUGCUAACAAAUGGGCCCGGGUACACAA